GACGUAGGGCGCGAGCGUUGUCCGGAUUUAUUGGGCGUAAAGAGCUCGUAGGCGGCUUGUCGCGUCGACCGUGAAAACUUGGGGCUCAACCCUAAGCCUGCGGUCGAUACGGGCAGGCUAGAGUUCGGUAGGGGAGACUGGAAUUCCUGGUGUAGCGGUGAAAUGCGCAGAUAUCAGGAGGAAUACCGGUGGCGAAGGCGGCAUCCUGGACCGACAUUGACGCUGAGGAGCGAAAGCUAGGGGGAGCAAACGGG
rnacentral:rRNA from 1 species